UGCCUCAUGUGAGAUCUGUUGCUGUUAGUCAUCGCUGGCAGUUGCUUAUUUCAGUUCUAACUAAAGCAUAAAGCAACAGGGGAGUUUUCCUGUGUCUUUGGUGGAGUUUGAGGUGGAAGUGCUCAGAAACCCUGUAGAUGGUGCUCACUGCAUCUCUUUUAGGGGAAAACCAAGGUCAGCUGGACAGAACAUUGAGAAAGUCUGGUACAGAAUGUCUUCAGUUAGUUGUUUAAUGCCAAGUAAUGUCUAAACCAUAUUGUAGCCAGGAUACCUAUACUUGUAACUUAAUCUUUUGAUCUGUACAGUUUUCUUUAAGGCCUCUUAGAAUUGCUUUCUAUGCAAGAAGUUAGAGGAGAUUAAACAGUUCUUGCUUAGCAGUUAAUGUCCUAGCUCUGAAUAUGCACAACUUCACCCUGGUUGUUUUGUGGAGGAAAAAAGGGUAAGAUGAAUUUAUUUUUUUAUGGAGGAAAUCUUUGGCAUGCUAUUUUUGGCCUGGUAGAGAAGCUUUAAGGGGAAUUGGAGUUCCCCAGGCAGCUGUUUAGCCAAAAUGUCUCUUUGGAAACUUCGCUCUCACCUAACUCUGUAGGGAUUUAACUCAGUAAGUAAUCAAAAUCUGAUUAUUUUUGCAGAACAGACAAAACAAAAAUGGGGCAUUCACUGAUGAGGUGUGGAAUAGCAUGUCAGGGCUGACUCUAGAACAUAGACAUGGUGAUUCAAUCCCCAGUACCACUGCUGAGGUCAAGUACAGCCGCCUUAGCAAUUGGAAAGUGAUAAUACCAAAAUAAAGCAGUUCUCCUUUUGCCAUGAGAGGCAAAGUAGAGGAGGUAUUCAUAGACCAGCAUCCAGUAUGGCUCAGUUUAAGAUCACUGAAGCCAAAUUACUGGUAGAACUGCAAAACAUUUGGGCACCAGAAGGAUUCUGGUGUUGGAUAGAGAUGACUUCAUCUUGGAUUUCAAAUAAAUGUUGGAGUGGUAUUUCUUAGGAUGCUGGCGACUCGCUGUUAGGUGCAUCUGUUUCAUGAUCUGAAAUGUCACUGCUCCCCCUGCUUCCUAGGAAACCUCUUUAUUUCGGAUAUCUGCUGAAUAAAUUGCAAAUAAACCCAAAGUGUAAGUGAUUCAUCACAGGAGUACUGGAGGCUUUUAAAUAGUUGAUUGCAAAAUCCCUGGAUAAUUUGAAGGUUGAGUCUAGUCCUUUUGUUUAUCCUAACUCCUGACAGCCUGAUAGCUUCUGGGAAGCAAUUUUUUCCCUUUCUUAAAAGCAGGAGGAGGGAUAGGUCACCAGAUUUAUCUGAGGCUUGGAAAUGGAGAGACCUUAAUGGACGAUGCUUUGCCUUAGCCACAAACCUGCUGACGUUUAGGAGCCAGGUCUCCUUCAGCCUGUUUCUCAAGGUUGGUGGUCCAAAGGCUAAAGCGGAGGGAGGAGCUCUAGUAUCCAGAAGGACGCUGACCUCUCAUCGGGAUCCUGCUCUGUGGGAUUCGGCGGCUUGCUGGUUGCCUUCGGUAUGCGGGGCUCUCCCCUGGCAGAACCAGUAUGGACUGCUGGCCCGAGUUCCUCUGAGACUCGAAGAUGCUUUGCUCUGCAGCACUCCUCUCCGAACAGGUAGACCCGGGCAUCGGCAGCAGGCGACCCAUCCUCAAGAGAGACCUUCCCAUGGAGGGUCGCAUCCUCGCACAUGCAGGCAUCGCAGUCAGCAUUGACACGGCCCAUGGGGCAGGUGAUGUUGCAGGCUGGAGGAGAGGCAGGCAGAGAAGCAGGAGUCAGCCCCUGCUCUGCAAGCCUCAGCAUCACUGCCUCGUGCCAUCCACUUGGAGGGGAAAACAAUCUUCCUGGAAGUUUUCUUCAAAAGACCAAGUGAAGAAAACCUCUGAGUGUUCAUGUUUUUGUGCUUUGAUUCUCCCCAGCAGGUAAGAGAGCUGCUGGGAAUGGGACAGAAAGCUGGGAAAGUCCCUUAAUCCCUCAGCUAUGGCAUCAGCGUGUCCAGCCCUUCCAGGGCCUGCUGGAAUCUAAAUCCUGAGCCCAGGGCAGUAAAGCUUAAAAGGUUGCAAUGUCUCCUUGGGGUCAAGGAGCAGACUGGGCUCUACAGGUAGUUAAUACCCCACAGGCUUUCAUUCUAUAUGGGGUCACCAACUGCGUGGGGACAGGCUGGGAAGGGGAAGGGCAAGUCAGAGCAUGUUCUUGCCCAUCCCUGGGCUCUCCUCGCCCUCCCAGCCCGCCCGUGCUUCCCGCGGGAGCCAGGGCUGUGGUCACGCACUUGACCUUCACUUUUCCAGGAGAGGAGCCAACAGCGUGUGUCAGCGAUAGCUAGAACCCUACAGGAGGUUGCAGAUGAUUAACAUUUAUUCCAUUGCUUAAAUGUCCUCACCUACUCAAAUAAUAGUGUUUGGUUGUAAACUGAGGCUGAAAAAACCCAAGGCACGUGCAAACACCCCUUGUCCUGGUGAGGGAAAGCCACUCGAGCUGGGAUCAACUUACUCUCCAAGCUGAGCAUUACCAGCGGGCUGAAGGUUUUCUGUCCUAUCUGGAUCCUGCCGAGGGCUGGUUUCAGAAGCCUUUGACCUAAGGAUUAAUGAAUAAGAGAUUAAAUUAGGUUAACAAUGAA